GACGAACGCUGGCGGCGUGCUUAACACAUGCAAGUCGAACGAUGAAGCUGGAGCUUGCUCCGGUGGAUUAGUGGCGAACGGGUGAGUAACACGUGAGUAAUCUGCCCUUGACCCUGGGAUAACUGCGGGAAACUGUAGCUAAGACCGGAUACGACACCUUCGGGCAUCCGAUGGGUGUGGAAAGAAUUUCGGUCAAGGAUGAACUCGCGGCCUAUCAGCUAGUUGGUGAGGUAAUGGCUCACCAAGGCGACGACGGGUAGCCGGCCUGAGAGGGUGACCGGCCACACUGGGACUGAGACACGGCCCAGACUCCUACGGGAGGCAGCAGUGGGGAAUAUUGCACAAUGGGCGAAAGCCUGAUGCAGCAACGCCGCGUGAGGGAUGAAGGCCUUCGGGUUGUAAACCUCUUUUAGUUGGGAAGAAGCGAAAGUGACGGUACCAACAGAAAAAGCACCGGCUAACUACGUGCCAGCCGCCGCCGUAA
rnacentral:rRNA from 1 species